rnacentral:rRNA from 3 species
UAAGGGCGUAUGGAGGAUGCCUAGACACUAGAAGGCGAUGAAGGUCGUGGCGUGACUGCGAUAAACUUCGGGGAGCCGUCGAGCGGGCUUUGAUCCGGAGGUAACCGAAUGGGGCAACCCAAUAUGACAAACUCAUAUUAUCUCGCGUAAGCGAGAUGCGUACCUGGGGAAGUGAAACAUCUCAGUACCCAGAGGAAAAGAGAACGAAGUUAUCCCCUUAGUAGCGGCGAGCGAAAAGGGAACAGCCUAAACCGAUUUCAUAAUUUAUUAUGUCGUCGGGGUAAUAGGGAUAGUACAACUAAAAAUUUGAAUUUCGGUCUUCUUGAUCGAGAUUCAAGUUUUUAAAAGAAGUUACAAAUUCGUGCGUUAGCAGAAUGGCCCUGGAAUGGCCAACCAAAGAAGGUGACAGUCCUGUAAGCGAAAACAAACGAACUUCUGUAUUAUUUCCUGAGUAGCCCGGGAUAAGGAUGUCCUGGGUGAAUUUGUCCAUACUACUGGAUAAGGCUAAAUACUUCUAGUGAUCGAUAGUGAACCAGUACCGUGAGGGAAAGGUGAAAAGCACCCCGAUGAGGGGAGUGAAAUAGCAACUGAAACCAUAUGCCUACAAAGAGCAGGAGCCGUACUUUGCACAGAGAUCCUAAGUCCUAAACGAAUUGGAAAAUUGUUUAGAGUUUGGAAAUUAGAAUUUAGAGUUUCCGUGCAGGGUGCGGUGACUGUGUGCCUAUUGAAGAAUGACCCAACGAGUUUAUUUAAAUUACACUCUAAGUCCUUAUGGGACGAAGGGGAAGGGAAACCGAGUGUUAAUAGCGCGUCAUCCAACUUAAAUUUUUGGACUACGUAAGUCACUGAAUGGUAAUCCGUGCCCUUUUGGGUAGGACUACCAAACAAACUCCGAAUACCUUUGUGGAAUGUGCGGCAGUGAGUAAGCGGGGGCAAAGCUUCGUUUACGCAAGGGAAACAGCCCAGAUCACCGCUUAAGGUCCCAAAAUUUAGACUAAGUGAAAAGGAAGUGUUUUGCCUUAGACAGGUAGGAGGUUGGCUUAGAAGCAGCCAUCCUUUAAAGAGUGCGUAAUAGCUCACUAUUCGAUCUCAUCGCAAGAUGAGGAGGCAAAGUGCGCCGAAAAUUUAUAGGGGCUAAGUCUAAUACCGAAAGCGUGGGUUCGGUGAUUUCAUAAAGGAAAGUUGUGGACAGAGAUAGUUCAAGGGAAGAACAUCUGGCCUCAUAAGCCAGAGAUACGUGGCUCAACUCCACGGCUCUGUCCCAUAAGUCGGGCGGGAACGACAAUCAAUUUCAUACAGAACCUGUCUGCCAGACACAGCGGGUUCCACGAUUGUUGUUUUCGUCCGACAACCUUUCAUCUCGUUCUUCGAGAUGUCCUUUAUGAAACCACCGAGCGGUAGGAGAGCAUUCUGAUCUGCUGUGAAGGUUCGCUGUGAAGCGGGCUGGAGCGGUCAGAAGGGAAAAUGUUGGGAUGAGUAACCGCAAGACCGGUUAAAGUCCGGUCCGUCGUAAGCCUAAGGUUUCCUCCGCGAUGGCAAUCAUCGGAGGGUUAGGCGUCCCUAAGGAUAACCGUGCUUUCGAGCGCGGGAUGCCGAUGGUGAGCCGGUUAAUAUUCCGGCCCCACUUAUGUAUAUCUGAUUGAGAUGACGGGCAACACAAGAUCAAGCACAUUAUUGGAUUUGAUGUUUUCCACCCAUAGACUUUCUACCAGGAAAAUCCGGUAGAGGCCGCAAGGCAAUGUCGAGGGUAGAAGAAAUCGUCGCAAGACGAGAUUUGAUCGAAGAGGGCUCCAAGAAAAGUCUCUAAUGUUAGUACAUGAGUGCACGUACCUAAAACCGAAACAGGUGGGCUGGUGUAAGUGCACCAAGACGAACGGGUGAUUAUUGGUUAAGGAACUCGGCAAAAAAGCGGCCGUAAGUUCGCGAUAAGGCCUGCCGCCGCAAGGCGGCCACAGCUAAAGAACCCCUGGCGACUGUUUAUCAAAAACACAACUCCGUGCUAAGCCGAAAGGCGCUGUAUACGGGGUGACGCUUGUCCGGUGCCGGAACGUUAACGGUGGAGGUGGUAUGUCGCAAGAUGUACUGCUGACGCCCGAAGCGCCGGUGAACGACGGCAGUAACUAUAACUGUCUAAAAGUAGCAAAAUACCUUGUGGGGUAAGUUCCCACGCGCAUGAAUAGCGGAACGACUGGGGGACUGUCUCAACCAAUAGCCCGGUGAAAAUGCAAUGUCGGUAAAGAU